CCUACGGGAGGCAGCAGUAGGGAAUAUUGCUCAAUGGGGGAAACCCUGAAGCAGCAACGCCGCGUGGAGGAUGAAGGUUCUCUGAUUGUAAACUCCUUUUGGUAGAGAAGAUAAUGCCGGUAUCUUCCGACUAAGCACCGGCUAACUCCGUGCCAGUCGCCGCGGUAAUACGGAGGGUGCAAGCGUUACUCGGAAUCACUGGGCGUAAAGGGCGCGUAGGCGGGAUAGCAAGUCAGGUGUGAAAUCCUAUGGCUUAAGCAUAGAACAGCAGUUGAAACGGUUAUUCUAGAGUAUGGGAGAGGUAGGUGGAAUUCUUGGUGUAGGGGUAAAAUCCGUAGAGAUCAAGAGGAAUACUCAUUGCGAAGGCGACCUGCUAGAACAUAACUGACGCUGAUGCGCGAAAGCGUGGGGAGCAAACAGGAUUAGAUACCCCUGUAGUC
rnacentral:rRNA from 1 species